rfam:Cavia porcellus supercont2_26 genomic scaffold, whole genome shotgun sequence.
GGCUGGUCCGUGUGCAGUGGUGUUUACAACUAAUUGAUAACAAUGAGUUACAGAUUUCUUUGUUCCUUCUCUACUCCCACUGCUUCACUUGACUAGCCUUAA